AUUGAACGCUGGCGGCAUGCUUUACACAUGCAAGUCGAACGGUAACAGGCCGCAAGGUGCUGACGAGUGGCGAACGGGUGAGUAAUGCAUCGGAACGUGCCCAGUCGUGGGGGAUAACUACUCGAAAGAGUAGCUAAUACCGCAUACGAUCUAUGGAUGAAGGCGGGGGACCGUAAGGCCUCGCGCGAUUGGAGCGGCCGAUGUCAGAUUAGGUAGUUGGUGGGGUAAAGGCUCACCAAGCCAACGAUCUGUAGCUGGUCUGAGAGGACGACCAGCCACACUGGGACUGAGACACGGCCCAGACUCCUACGGGAGGCAGCAGUGGGGAAUUUUGGACAAUGGGCGCAAGCCUGAUCCAGCAAUGCCGCGUGCAGGAAGAAGGCCUUCGGGUUGUAAACUGCUUUUGUACGGAACGAAACGGCUCUGGUUAAUACCCGGGGCUAAUGACGGUACCGUAAGAAUAAGCACCGGCUAACUACGUG
rnacentral:rRNA from 1 species